rnacentral:lncRNA from 1 species
GUUCAAGCUAUAUAUAGCUGCUGCUAAAUUCAGAGAAACCAUGAUAUGGGUUCGGUGGUUGUAUGAACUAAAAGACUCCAGCUUUUGCUUUCUUAUACCCCAAAUAAGAACAACCUAUAAUCCUAAUAUAGAGGACAAUGCACUCAACUAAUUAAUUACUAACCACAGUAUAAAAUUUGUUGUUCACUCAACUAAUUAAUUGCAUAUGAACGGUCCUAUCCAAGAAUUCCUCAAAUGAUGGCUAGCAAAAAGAAACACAGAGAAAGAAGAAGAAGAAGAAGAAGAUAGAGCUUUACUUUUGGGGUGCAUUUUUGCUCGUAGUCCUUAAGUGGUGAUAAUGUAUAACCAUUACUUAAGGGUGGUGAGCAAAAAUAUUCUCUCACUUUUAGCCUCCACUAAACUCAUCACGUGACACACAUUUUCCCACCUUUGACCUAGCUAGCUAGGCAGAGGUAAAUCAAAUGUACACAUUGCUCAUUACCUCAAUGUACUCAACCGAGCUCGUGAUAUAGAAUAUUGCUUCAAAUGCUCUUUAAUUACGGAUGAGAUUGCCCCUUGUUUAACGCAAUGAAUUAGGCUAAAUGUUGUUUUAAUUUUGACAAUGAUGCGUGGCCCAUUGGGGGUGGGCCAUUUGUGCAUGAUUACCCGUUGGAAACAUCUUUUUAUAUCUUAAAAGGUUGUUUUCAAUUGCUAAUCUAUAUUGUUAUGUUAAGACACAACCUCACUUUAUACUUACAAUGGGCUACAACUUAGCAUUAAACUCGUUGUGAAUAUGUAUAGUUUUUUUUUGCAUUCAUACGAGGUCAAACAGAGAGACCCAAAUCAUCUGCUUGAUUUUUUCUACUUGAUUUCUCAUAUAGAUUUACAGUCGACACAUUAUUCUUAAAAUUUGAAUGAGAUGUCGUAUGAAUAGGAGUCAAGCAGAUCAUGACAGAGAAAAAUAGAAUAAAGGAUCUAAAUCCAAAACAGAGACAUCUUUUAACCAAAUCGAGACCGAAUAGCUCUAAAUCGAAUCGUCACAUGCAACCCAACCUUGCUAUUUGAUGUGAUCCCUCAGUCAUGAUUAUGCAUGUAUCCCUUUUGAAAAACUUCAACUUUGAACCAAGAAAACCUGCCCGGCCCAGCAGACAAACACAAACUCAUAACAAGCUUUUGCACGUCUCCCUCAUCUUUGAGAUUAGUUUGUUUUGAGUCAAUUGCGCCGAUAAGCUCGUGAAUCAAUCAUAUAUACCUUCUUCUCUCCCAAAAGCGGGUUAGUUCGGAUUAGGAUCCCAGUAGCUUAAUUGGGACUAAUUACCAAACAUAACACCAACAUGAUUAAACAAAGCAAAGUAUUCAGAAUUUCCCAACAUCACCAAAAGGCAAAAGGUAGUCGUCGUCCCUUUUCCCUAUCUUAUUGUAUUUGAAUAUUGGAUCAUCCAUUAUACAUCCAUAUCACCAUCGAAAAUUUUAUAAAGCUCACCUUCAACUUGUUACUCUUAGCAAUCACACUUUCGAACCAUUACCGAAAACUAACAAUUUAUAUAUUCACAUAUCGUUUUGCUUUUAUUAGUGGGGAACCUAAUCAUUUCUAUAUCUGAAAGAGUCAGGAAAACUGCACAUCAAUUAUCCGUUUCAGAAUAUUUUGUAUAAAACACUUUUGAUUAUAAGCAUUCUGGUAACGCUAUCAUUAAAAAACAACAAAAAUUCUAUAAAAACUUUGCAUGCUUCUUGCUAUACACAAGUCAAAAGAUACUACAAAGCUCAAAUGCCAGUAUUCAUACGUUGCGUUGUGGAACUAGUAAUGGAGUAUUUGGAAUUUGGACCCUCCACUAUAAUACUACAAAGUUGCACGCUUGGCAAUACUAGUAUUAGUGGGGCGAAUGGAAGGCCAAACAAGCUUUCAACUCUCAAGUCAAGAGACUCACCCUCCUCAGGAAUAAAAUGCCACGCCGCCAGCCGUCCAAUUAUCACGAUCAUUAUGCAUUGUGGUCCUGUGGAUGCUUC